UUUCCCGGACAUGUCCGGGAAAAUCCGGACGUAUGGUAACCCUACCCAGGGCGCAAGUCCUCGCCCCUCCGAGCUACAGCACCGUGACACAGUAACACAGGCAGCCCAUGGGCAUAGUGCUGGGGAAGCCCCACAAACCAGGGGCACGCCUCAUCUGGGACAAGGGCUAGCUCCCCAAAUGCGCCAGCAUGGUCAGCAGCACAUCCAGCCCUCCCUGCUUCACCUCACAGCCUUCAUUAGUGUGUAUCCAUUCACAGAGUCCAAGCGUCGGCUAGUGGCCUCCCAGUGACAUAAAAAUGGUCCAAAGAGGCUACCAGCUCCCAACACAUCAAAACAAGAGGGUAGCACACAACAAAGUUUCAGAGUGGUAUCUGGGUUACUCUGUAUCACCAAAAACAAAAACUCCAUUGAGGGUGCAGGUUUUGCAAAGUGAAUGCCGCACAGACCGUGUCUUGGUCCAGCCACCAUUGAAGGGCUCUGAUUAAUGCCAGCAGAAGUAUGACGACCUUGUCUAGCGGGUGAUGACCUGGUAUGUAUACCAAUGCCAGUCAUAAUUGGAGAGGCUGCAGCCUGAGUCAUUUAUGCUGCACCACAUAAGUGCAAGAGGCCAUGUGCUCCAGGAGCUUCAGGCAGCACCUUGCCAUGAUGUACAACAGGACCUUUUACGUCCUCCGGUGCCAGCGGAUCACCCAUAAGUGUGACCUGAGAGUCUCGGACUUCUGCCCUGGGAAAGGAACCCCUCUCCGACCGGGACGGCAAGGGUGCCCUCGUCUCUGAGGCUGUUGAGUGAAGAAGAUCACUACAGGGUAUUGCUUGCUGAGCAAGAGAUAAGAGCGGAAAGAAGGAACUGAGGAGGCAACGGGCAGAUGCCUAUAUACUGGACCAUGGAGGCGCCACUCUAGAGUCAACCUGAUGGAUACCACUAGGAGAAAAAUGUCCUGCAACGGUGCAGGCGAUGCGCACACUCCUCUGUUGGAAUGGACAUGAGCAAGCACUCAAAGAAGAAUCAUAAGUAACAUCAGUCAUUUUGCCAGUAUCCCAGAGGGACCUCUAGAGAGCAGCUUUUCUCAUUAGCCAGAGAGAGUCAGUUCCAAACCUUUAGUAGUCCUAAACCUGCCUUAUAUCAUCUCAUUUCCUGUUUGCAGAACUCAGCUCUCAUUCCUAACUGCCAUGGAUCCCUUCCUUCUAGCUUUCCAUCCUUUUUCCUGUUUCAAGGCAUGUCAGCCAAAACAAUCUCCUUUGCACUCCUAGCACUGAGGAGGAAAAGAAUAAUGGCUCUCGGCCAGACUGUAAACCCCCUAUUCACAAGGGUGACCUAAUUCCAAUGGGACUACUCAUAUGAGUAAGGCCAAGUCUACACCUAAAAAUUAGCUUGACCUAGCUACAUCAUUCAGGGCUGUGAAAAAUGUUGCACUCUGUGCAAUGUAGUGAGGUCCAUCUAAUCCACACUGUAGAAGCAAUUAAGUGAAUGGAAGGAUUCUUUCACCUCUCAGAGAGGUGCUGGUUCCAGGACCCCUGGCAACCCUGUCUACUUUAAGCACUGGCUGUCUGCAGGUAAUGCUGAACGGAGUUCUCAAGAGAGUGGUGUCUGCUAUUUGGCUGGGGAUAGUGGGCAGCCCUCUCUUCACAGUGAGCAGUGCAAGGCUGAUUAGGUUUGCUGCACUUGGGCAGGAAAUUCUGGGACAUUGGGCCAAAUCGCUGAAGUGGCUGGGUAGGUUUUGUAGAUUGGCUGGAGGGAGAAACAUUCAGGGAGGUUUCUUCGGCCUGGGAUUUCUCGGUGAUACAGCAACCUGCAAUGGAAACAAGAUUGUUUCUUUGUUUCUUUUAGCCUGCUCAUUGGAAGGACUUGGCUAUGCUGAAUGCAGCUUGUGCUGACCACGGGGGGCCCAGAGAUCUGCCCACAGGCUUCCUCAGCUUGUCUUCCCAAAUGCUAGAAUUGCUGCUGUGAACAAAUGUGGUUUCCAUGCUGGCCAUCACAUGUGGUAACUUGACCUAGUUUUAAGGGGACUAUAAAUACAAAUAGAUAAAAAGACUAACUGAGAGAGAAGGGGUGAGAUGGGGUGGGGCAGGAGAGCAAUUAUAACAUUAAAGACCAAGUUUUCAAAACCACACACACAAAUUUCAGGGCACUCAAAGUUGCAAGCAAUACAUUGGGCACCCAGAGAGCUGGUGUGGCUGAUAUUGCAGGCUCCUGGAUAGCUUCAGCGCACCCAGAUUUCAGAGCUGGGAAGUUUUAAAUAAUACAUUUCUGUGCUGAGUGAGUUUCCACCACAGUCAGUGCAGAAAUCAGGCUUCACUCAGUGUUUAGACUUUCUCUGGGAUUUAUCUUUAAUUUUUUUGAUCUCGAUGGGGUUUUCAUUGGAUCUGAAGAGCAGGAGCCAGUGCAGAUAUUGACCAGUGCAGUUUACAGAAUGAGUGGGGACAACAUCCUUGCACCACAGAGAGACAGAUAAUGACAGGAUGCAACUGUGGGGACUCUAUUAUAGAAGGAGGGGUGGCACUGGGCAAUCCUAUUGCAGAGAGAGAGAGAGAGAGAGCACUCCAUUGAACCUAUCACAGAGACAGGUCAGCAUUUGAUACCAGCACCCUAUAGUACAGAAAGGCAAGUCAGGGUAUGGCACUGUUAGCCAUACACCCCAGAGAGCGAUGGGUGGGGUAUGGCAGCAGGGAGAUCAGACAAGUCAUGACUGGUGACACUAUCACUGAGUGUCAGGUUCAGGGUAGGCACGAAGGAAUCAAAUGCAACAUAUUGCUCAUGGACUUCUAGUGUGUUGGCAACACUUGGAUCUGUCCUCUCGUUCCAUCGUUUUGAGCUCUGUUCUCAAGAGCAUCGGAAUCCAGCACUCAUGACCUUUGCUCCCACCAGUGAUCUCACAGUAACCAACAAGCGGAAAGGGGCUAAAAGCAGAGGCUUUGUCCAUUUCAGAGAAUGCAGAGCACUCUGAGCUGGCAGUGCUGCUGGGGUUUCCUACUGCUGUGUGAGCAGGUUAGGAGCUGACUCACUCUUCAGAGCCACAAUCCCCAUACCCCAGUCUCCGUUUUAUGCUUCCUGCCCCUUCAGACCUCAUGUAUACGCACCACAGCUCUGACGGUGAUGCAUCAAUUCUCUGAAAUGUCAAGGAUCGGCUGGAGAGGGGGCCCAUGGCACCAAUCAGAUGUCAUAGACCAGGCCUGAUGGGAACAUGGGGGGAAGGGGAGGGAGAGAAUCAUCCAACUAGCACAACAGAAAUGCAGUGUGUUAGCAGUGAGCAAACCUAGACUCUGUGCUUGAAGCGGAGGGGGCCCAGAGAGUGGGUUGACCUUACACAUCCUGAUAGUGGGCGGGGGAGGGCGGCCUAGACAGUGCUGGUGUUAGCCCAUUGGUGGCCCUAAGCAGGAAUAUUCAGGGGGAUCCUCCACAACACAUGCUAAUAAUUAAUAGCAGAGCCCCUUGAGCUGCUCAGGACCCAAAGCAAUUGCUUAGUCUACUUAUGCCUAGCACUAGCACUGAGCUUAAAGCUUUACCAGCUGAGGUUCUGGCCUCACUAUUUCUCUUACUCGUUUUACUUUAACUUGUGAUUACUUUCAUGGAGUCACUCCCAUGUGAAUUAUUUCAUUUCAAAGCAGAUUGCAGAAGCUGUAGCAGCUGCCUGUCUUUCCUUCCCGCUCAGCAGUAAGAGAAAUCUCACACCAUCUUUGUCUGGGUGCUGGUGCAUGUUGUUAAGGCGAGACUUACAGAGGGUAUGGUGCAAGAGCUCUGCACUUGCAGUGGGAGGCUGUGCAGUCCAGUGGUUAAAGUAGGGAUCUGAGAGUCGAGACACUUUGGAUUCAAUUCUUCAUUACCCUGCACCUGGGUUAUAAAAAAUCCAAAUGGUAGCAAUUUACAUCCACUUUUCAUAGGUGUAAGUGACUGUAAGAGGUAAAGGAUGAUGGCAAAUCAGAUCCAUAGGUUCUAUGCCUGAGUCUGCCACAGACUUCCUGGUGACUUACCCUCUUGCUGUCUCAGUUUCACCAGGUUUUAAAUAGGGAUAGCACCACUGAGGGAGGCUUAUGUGAGGUUUCAUUACUUGCCGUCCCUAGUGUGCUUGAAGCUGUUCCUGUGGCAGGUGAGAAGCUGUGGAAAGCUUGUUUUUUUCCGCCCCUGCUUUCGCUUUCCUUCCCGGUACAGCGAUUAGCAUCUGCGUGGGUGAACUCAACCUUUGUUCAUGAGCUAGAAUCCAGCAAAGUGGAAAUUGUAUGAAGGGGAAUUUGCUUAUUUUCAUAUUGAAUUUCCUCUUGAGUCUGGAGGGUUCCAGAGCAUCAUUGGCUCAUGAGGCCAGCUGGGCCCCAGAGCUUCUCCACAGUAGAUUCUGCACUAGCAGCAGACCCUGUGUCCUGGCAACUGGGACCCUUUAAAUACAGGCACUGAGACUUGAUAGGGACAAAUUUAAUCUAGGUGUUUUACUGUCCCCAAUCAUGCACUGGGCUGAGUAUAAAACCUGGCAUGGGUUCUCUGAGGUGUAGCAUGCUGUGCUUCAAAGCAGCACCUUGGAACCCCCAUAUUCACUACUGCCAUAUAAUUAUGAUCUGUUUGGUACAAAGUAUGCCUUGAGCUAUUAUUUUAAAAGGCUUGAUCUGUUGAACAUUAAUAUCCUGUUGGAUAGUAUGUGCUAUCAUUGUAUGGGAAGUUAUGCAGUUUUGCUGUGUGUGUGUUACUGCAAUAUGUUGUAAGGUUGGGAACACCCACAACCAGCCUUUCAGCUGCAACAAUGGAGGAGUCAGACUUGCUGAUGGCCCAUGAAAGGAAUACACACUUCCAGGAACCAUAUUCAAAAGAGACUUCUCAGAGAUAGCACUUAGACCAGGAGUUGUGAAGGUGUUUUCUCCAGGAAUUGAAAUUAGGAAGGGUGUUCAAAUAUACAAGGUGGGGUGAAGGCCAAAGAGGGAUGAGACCAUGAGGGUGAAGGUGGGCUGUAUGGCACCAUAAUAAAAACUGAAAAAUGUUUCACAACCAUUUUAUUAGAUUCAAUCAUGUUUUAAAAUCAUCACAAAUAUUAAAGUUGGCUACUCAAGCCUUCUAUGAAUCACUA